GUUCCGUUUGUACUCGUAAGUCGGAUUUUCUGAAGUCAAAGUCGGAACCCCGCCCCCUGACUUCGGAUUUCCGGGCUGGGCACUCGGACAACCUCGCAGUACCCCGAGCUCAAAAUCCAACAUGGCCGCCCUGUGCUUCAACAGUUGUGAAAGCUGUAGUAACAGUCAGUUAUUAGCACGUCUGUCUUUAAAUAAGACUUACA